UACAGAGGUCUCGAGCGUUAGGCGGAAUCACUGGGCUUAAAGCGUGUGUAGGCGGAUCGUUAAGUGCCUUGUGAAAUCCCACGGCUCAACCGUGGAACUGCUUGGCAUACUGGCGGUCUUGAGCAACCUAGGGGCGAGCGGAACAAAUGGUGGAGCGGUGAAAUGCGUAGAUAUCAUUUGGAACGCCAAUGGUGAAAACAGGUAGCUGGGAGUGUGCUGACGCUGAGACACGAAAGCUAGGGGAGCGAACGGG
rnacentral:rRNA from 1 species